rnacentral:rRNA from 1 species
AUAUUUUAAAAUACAACCCUGCAUGUGCCCAUUCUCAACUGAUCUUGGAAGUUAAGCAGGGUCAACCCUGGUUAUUACUUGGAUGGGAGAAAGUGAAAUAUU